rnacentral:tRNA from 1 species
GGUGGCUCAGUAGUAGAGCACUAGCCUUUCAUGCCUGAGGCCCUGGGUUCGAUUCCUCAGCACCA